GAGAAUUGGUCGAACCUAUCUAGAGCUUCUAACUCAAGAAAAAGAGGUUUAACUCCUUUUACUUCUC
rnacentral:tRNA from 1 species